GUGUUUCAGGCGACCCACUCCUCCUCCCAGGGGCGCCUGUAGGGACAGCGGCACUCCUCCUCCCAGUCGCUGUUCAUCCAUUCGAAAAGCCUGCCGCACCUCCUCCCGCGGCAGGCUUUUUCG
rnacentral:sRNA from 1 species